UACGUAGGGGGCAAGCGUUGUUCGGAAUUAUUGGGCGUAAAGGGUGCGUAGGCGGUUUGAUAAGUUUGAUGUGAAAUCUCUGGGCUCAACCCAGAGUCUGCAUCGAAAACUGUCGGGCUUGAGUAUGGGAGAGGUGAGUGGAAUUUCCGGUGUAGCGGUGAAAUGCGUAGAUAUCGGAAGGAACACCUGUGGCGAAAGCGGCUCACUGGACCAUUCUGA
rnacentral:rRNA from 1 species